UUAAGAUAUUUUGGAUGCCUGUGACCCCAUCCCCUCUAUACUGCUAUAGCAGAUAGCUAGGUUAAAGUGCUACAGUUCAGCUAGUUUACCAAGUAUGAGUUAUCCAAAGAGUUGCAAGUGCAGACUUAGAUGGUUCUAUUCCAAGGGGGCUCUCUUAGUCAUUUUUUGGAACUUGUUAAUGUCCAUUGUUAAUGGCUCAAUUAUCCACGCUUACGGUAAUACCUUUCAUAUUUCAGGUAAAAGAAUAUCUCGUGUUUUGGCUAUUAUCGUUCCGGUAGGUUUUCUUAUUGCUUCACUUGUCUCGGGAAGUUUGUCAGAUACUUCUUUUGGAAAGUAUAAGAUAAUCAAGGGUGGAUUUGUACUGAAUUUCUUAGCAGCAGUGAUAUACUGCAUAGGAGUAUUGGCAGCAGAUGCACUCGUCAUAACUACCGACAACAAAUUUAUCGUUGAUUGUGUAUCGUUUGUUGUUUUUAGUAUUGGCUAUGCUUGCUUUCUGGCUACUUGUACUCCAGUGGGUUUGGAGCAGCUUCCCGAUGUUUCCUCUGAGAGUAUCAGCAGCUUUAUCUCAUGGUAUCUCCUGAGCUAUGGUUUAGGCACCUGGAUUGGCACUGUAUUUCAUUCUGUUUACCUAAGGUGUAUUAACGAAGCCCAUACUAAGCUUAUUUUCAAUGAGUUGUUGGUUUUAUUCAUAGUAUCAUGUGCAAGUGCUAUUUUGAUAUCUGUUUUUCUCUUAGCUCCAAAGUGGUUGAUAAUUGAACCAAAGGCCCAGCCUCAGACCAUUAGAUCUAUUUAUCAUGUUCUCAAGUUUGCAGCCAAGCACAAGGCUCCCCUCAAUCGCAGUGCUUUCACGUACUGGGAGGAAGACAUACCGUCUAGAAUUGACCUGGGUAAGACAAAGUAUGGCGGUCCUUUCACCACCGAGCAAGUUGAAGAUGUCAAAACUAUUAUUGAAAUUUUAACUCUUUUCUUACCUAUGUCGAUUUGUCUAUUGGUACUAGCCAAUCCAAUAAUUGUGGACCCACCUGAUGAAACAUUUGGAAUGACAGUUUGUACUGCAGAAUUGUUAAAUUUGUCACACAGUGGUCCAUUGUGGAUUGCGAUUGGCUCGCUAGUGAACGAGUUCAUUAUCUACCCACUGCUCAGACAUAGAAUGCCAAAUAUUUUGCAACAAAUUCAAAUGACUUUUUUUUUCCUGACUGCCUUAUACGUCUUCCUAUUAGUAUUAGCCAUUCUUCAUUUUGUUGGUCUUGGAGAAGAUAUAAUGAAUUUUGGUAGCAUUUUGUACGGAAUUAUUAAUGGUUUGCUCACCCGGGCCUAUUUCACUUCAGUACUGGAGUUUGUAUGUGCCCAAUCACCAUCCCACACAAAAGGACGCUUCUUUUGUCUUGUGUAUUUUCAAUACUUGUCAUCUGAAGUGUUUAGUUACAUUUUCAUACUCUACUUCAGACAUUCCUGUAAAGCUGAAUACUGCUCUGUUGUGUAUUGGUCGGUAACAACUGUCAUUAGUUUGGUUGGUUUCUUAUUAAUUUGUUUUGUGGCUCGACGGUACAAGAAAAGAGAAAGAGACGACAUUUACGAUUCUCAGAGACUUGUGGAGGUUUAUGAUCGAUACCUCUCGCAGAGGAAUAAUUAAGCCAUCAAAAAAGUUUACAAAAUAUGUAAUGUUAAAAGUGACAUCAAACAUGAUAACUAAUACCUGUGCUUGUAAUUAUUGUCUGGUACCUAGAUUUUACAUGUAGAUCUCAUCUACUGCCCCCCCCCCCCUUUUAUAUAAUGACGUGUGUGUAUUGUACAUGUUGUUAUUAUUAUACGCCCACAUAAUUGAUCCACUUCAUUGUUUGUAGCUUUGCAUAUUAAUGAUCUUUACCUAUUUAAAUGGCCAGGCCCAGCGAGUAGAUACUGGAGUACUAAUUAAUGUUGAUUGCAGGGAUAGAUAAUUGAAUGUGCUAUUCAUAAUUAUACAGUAGAUACAAGUAUUUUAACCGCUCCCCCUCCUCCUUCCUUAGGUUCAACCAUUUUGCUAAGCUCCACGACAUCCAGACCCUAGCCAUGCUGGCUUGUCUGUUCCUUCAAUUUGACAAUACAACAAGAAUGACGCAAACCAGCAGCUGUCAAAGUCCCCAUUGCUCACGUCAAGGUGCACAACGGCAACCACCACUACAGCUCAAUCUACAAGUCCCUACCGCCCACAAGAGUGUCUCCCACUUAUAGAGUACACACACAGCCGGUUGAGGAGAAUGAUGACAAAGAUGUCCCAGCAGUCACUGUGAGGUGCAUGGAGGGGGCCUCCAAAUAUGAACUACAUCAUCACUUGUUUAUGUUUAAUUAUCAUUGACAAGAAUACAAAAUACUAAUAUUCAACAAUUGCAAGCCAUAAUAAUUUAACAAGCCAUCAGAUCUGCUCCUCUUCUGGAACACCGUAUGGAGGCAAUCAUUUAUUUAGUAACACGACAUUAUACGAAGCGAAACAUGCAGAGAGGCAUAAGCAACAUGCAGACAUUCAGGCACAACAUUCAUUAUAAUGCAGCAAUAAUUAUACUUCAGUACACUGUUGACGUCAGAUCAUUCGAUAUUCAA